CGGAGCAACGCCCCGUGAGUGAUGAAGGUUUUCGGAUCGUAAAGCUCUGUUGUUAGGGAAGAACAAGUACCGUUCGAAUAGGGCGGUACCUUGACGGUACCUAACCAGAAAGCCACGGCUAACUACGUGCCAGCAGCCGCGGUAAUACGUAGGUGGCAAGCGUUGUCCGGAAUUAUUGGGCGUAAAGGGCUCGCAGGCGGUUUCUUAAGUCUGAUGUGAAAGCCCCCGGCUCAACCGGGGAGGGUCAUUGGAAACUGGGGAACUUGAGUGCAGAAGAGGAGAGUGGAAUUCCACGUGUAGCGGUGAAAUGCGUAGAGAUGUGGAGGAACACCAGUGGCGAAGGCGACUCUCUGGUCUGUAACUGACGCUGAGGAGCGAAAGCGUGGGGAGCGAACAGGAUUAGAUACCCUGGUAGUCCACGCCGUAAACGAUGAGUGCUAAGUGUUAGGGGGUUUCCGCCCCUUAGUGCUGCAGCU
rnacentral:rRNA from 1 species